rnacentral:rRNA from 1 species
AUUGAACGCUGGCGGCAGGCCUAACACAUGCAAGUCGAACGAGUCGCGGACGGGUGAGUAAUGUCUGGGAAACUGCCUGACGGAGGGGGCUAACUGCUGGAAACGGUAGCUAAUACUGCAUACUAUCAGAUGUGCCCAGAUGGGCUUAGCUAGUUGGUGGGGUAACGGCUCACCAAGGCGACGAUCCCUAGCUGGUCUGAGAGGAUGACCAGCCACACUGGAACUGAGACACGGUCCAGACUCCUACGUGAGGGAGCAGUGGGGAAUAUUGCACAAUGGUCGAAAGCCUGAUGCAGCCAUGCCGCGUGUAUGAAGAAGGCCUGCGGGUUGUAAAGUACUUUCAGCGGGGAAGCGUUACCCGCAGAAGAAGCACCGGCUAACUCCGUGCCAGCAGCCGCGGUAAUAC